UUACGGUCAAAUCACGCUGAAAACACCGGUUCUCGUUCGAUCACCGAAGUUAAGCAUCAAUAGAAACCAGGUCAGUACUUAGAUGGGGGACCGCUUGGGAACACCUGGUACUGUAAG